GAUGAAGAACGUAGCGAAAUGCGAUAAGUAAUGUGAAUUGCAGAAUUCAGUGAAUCAUCGAAUCUUUGAACGCACCUUGCGCCCUUUGGCCAUUCCGAAGGGCAUGCCUGUUUGAGUAUCAUGAACACCUCAACUCUUCAUGGUUUUCCAUGAUGAGCUUGGACUUUGGGGGUCUUGCUGGCCUGUGGGUCGGCUCCUCUCAAAUGAAUCAGCUUGCCGGUUUUUGGUGGGCAUCACAGGUGUGAUAACUAUCUACGCUUGUGGUUUUCCACCAGGGUAACCUUCAGCAGUGGAGGUUCACUGGAGCUUACAAAUGUCUCUCCUCUGUGAGGACAGCCCUUUGAAUGUUGAUCUCAAAUCAGGUAGGACUACCCGCUGAACUUAAGCAUAUCAAUAAGCGGAGGA
rnacentral:misc_RNA from 1 species